rnacentral:rRNA from 1 species
UACAGAGGUCUCAAGCGUUGUUCGGAAUCACUGGGCUUAAAGGGCGCGUAGGCGGGCCGGAUAGUCUGUGGUGAAAGCCUCCAGCUUAACUGGAGAAGUGCCAUGGAUACUGCCGGUCUUGAGGAGGGUAGGGGCAUCUGGAACGCUGGGUGGAGCGGUGAAAUGCGUUGAUAUCCAGCGGAACUCCGGUGGCGAAGGCGAGGUGCUGGACCCUUUCUGACGCUGAGGCGCGAAAGCCAGGGGAGCAAACGGG